GACGAACGCUGGCGGCGUGCUUAACACAUGCAAGUCGAACGAAGUGGCGAACGGGUGAGUAACGCGUAAUCAACCUGACCUUCAGAGGGGGACAACAGUUGGAAACGACUGCUAAUACCGCAUACUGAAGGAGGGGAUUGCGUCUGAUUAGGUAGUUGGGGGGGUAACGGCCCACCAAGGCGAUGAUCAGUAGCCGGUCUGAGAGGAUGAACGGCCACAAUGGGACUUGGACACGGCCCAGACUCCUACGGGAGGCAGCAGUGGGGAAUCGUCCGCAAGGGACGAAAGUCUGACGGAGCAACGCCGCGGGAGGGAUGACGGCCUUCGGGUUGUAAAGCUCUUUUAAGCGGGACGCGGUACCAGAAUAGAAAGCCACGGCUAACUACGUGCCAGCAGCCGCGGUAAUUC
rnacentral:rRNA from 1 species